rnacentral:ncRNA from 1 species
ACGGGAACCACACGGCCGUAGAUCCGACUCGCCGCGUCGCCGGGUGCGUGGCACCGUUUGUCGCCACGCUGCCGGGGCGGCUUGGGACUGCGGUAGUGU